AUUGAACGCUGGCGGAAUGCUUUACACAUGCAAGUCGAACGGCAGCACGGGGCAGCCUGGUGGUGAGUGGCGAACGGGUGAGUAAUACAUCGGGACGUGCCCAAUCGUGGGGGAUUACGUAGCGAAAGUUACGCUAAUACCGCAUACGAUCUACGGAUGAAAGCGGGGGAUAGCAAGACCUCGCGCGAAUGGAGCGGACGAUGUCAGAUUAGGAAGUUGGGGGGGUAAAGGCUCACCAAGCCAACGAUCUGUAGCUGGUCUGACAGGACGACCAGCCACACUGGGAGUGGGAGACGGACCAGACUCCUACUGGAGGCAGCAGUGGGGAAUUUUGGACGAUGGGCGCGAGCCUGAUCCAGCCAUUCCGCGUGCAGGAUGAAGACCUUCGGGUUGGAAACUGCUUUUGUACGGAACGAAACGGUUCUCUCUAAUACAGGGGGCUAAUGACGGUACCGUAAGAAUAAGCACCGGCUAUCUACGUGCCAGCAGCCGCAGUAACAC
rnacentral:rRNA from 1 species